rnacentral:rRNA from 1 species
GAUGAACGCUGGCGGCGUGCCUAAUACAUGCAAGUCGAGCGAACAGAUGAGGAGCUUGCUCCUCUGACGUUAGCGGCGGACGGGUGAGUAACACGUGGAUAACCUACCUAUAAGACUGGGAUAACUUCGGGAAACCGGAGCUAAUACCGGAUAAUAUAUUGAACCGCAUGGUUCAAUAGUGAAAGACGGUUUUGCCGUCACUUAUAGAUGGAUCCGCGCCGCAUUAGCUAGUUGGUAAGGUAACGGCUUACCAAGGCAACGAUGCGUAGCCGACCUGAGAGGGUGAUCGGCCACACUGGAACUGAGACACGGUCCAGACUCCUACGGGAGGCAGCAGUAGGAAAUCUUCCGCAAUGGGCGAAAGCCUGACGGAGCAACGCCGCGUGAGUGAUGAAGGUCUUCGGAUCGUAAAACUCUGUUAUUAGGGAAGAACAAAUGUGUAAGUAACUAUGCACGUCUUGACGGUACCUAAUCAGAAAGCCACGGCUAACUACGUG